GCCCCGCCCCCGCCGCUUCUCCAUGGGGCGCGUGAAGGGCGCCUAGCAACCAAUCGGGAGUGGGAGGGGGCGGGCUCAGACGCUGAUUGGUUGGGCUGGACGCUGCUCCAGAGGGCGGUGUGGCGCUGAGCAGUGCUACCGUGCUGUCUAGUGUAUACUAGAAUACUGUCUACCGUAAUACAUAGGGCAAAAACUACCUUUUUCAAGAGUCAAGAGCCAGUCAAGUUACCUGCAGAGAGAAAUUCCAGGUUCCAACCAGCUCAAUCCUUGCCUUAAAAGCACAGACUUUAAUCUGGCGAGCUAUGGCACAGCUUUAUCAGCAUCUCAGGGUGGCUGAUCUUGUACGGCAAGCUUUAAACUAGCCUUGCCAGGGGAGGGUGCUGCAGGAAGACGUGGAGACACCACCCAAGCAAGACAGGUGACACAUGCAAGCAGUGCCCAGGUCACAAAAUGCAGAAGUUGAGGUAGAUGUCAUCUACUUGGAUUUUAAGAAGGCCUUCGAUACGGU